GUGAAAAUAAUUGGUGUAGAGACAAAAACAAUAGCAAAGAUAAAUGAAACUAAAAGGUAGUUCUCUGAAAAGAUAAACAUAAUUGAUAAACCAUUAGCCAAACUUACCAAGAUAAAAAGGAAGAGGACUCAAAUCAAUAAAAUAUGAAAUGA